rnacentral:rRNA from 1 species
GACGAACGCUGGCGGCGUGCUUAACACAUGCAAGUCGAACGGUAAGGCCCUUCGGGGUACACGAGUGGCGAACGGGUGAGUAACACGUGGGGGAUCUGCCCUGCACUUCGGGAUAAGCCUGGGACACUGGGUCUAAUACCGGAUAGGACCCUGGGAUGCAUGUCCUGGGGGGGAAAGCUUUUGCGGUGUGGGAUGGGCCCGCGGCCUAUCAGCUUGUUGGUGGGGGGGUGGCCUGCCAAGGCGACGACGGGUAGCCGGCCUGAGAGGGUGACCGGCCACACUGGGACUGAGAUACGGCCCAGACUCCUACGGGAGGCAGCAGUGGGGAAUAUUGCACAAUGGGCGCAAGCCUGAUGCAGCGACGCCGCGUGAGGGAUGACGGCCUUCGGGUUGUAAACCUCUUUCAGCACCGACGAAGCGAAAGUGACGGUAGGUGCAGAAGAAGGACCGGCCAACUACGUGCCAGCCGCCGCCGUAA